AGGCGCUUAGUUUAAUAAAAACACUCGAUUUCGGCUCGAGCACUUAUGGUUAGAGUCCAUAAUCGCCUU
rnacentral:tRNA from 1 species